CACCUCGUCGUCCUUGUCGCGAAGAUUUUUCAACCAGUUUGAGUACCACUGAAGCUCGCAGUCGCAGAUCAGCGGAUUGUCUGAAACCGAAGAUCGUCAAAGUGGUACUGGAAGGUCGAUGAAUGCACGUUGCAUCGAUCGCUUCGGCAGGUGAUUGCGAACAGACUUGCACGAGGGCGAAACAACUACUCGGUGAACGAAAUUACAGAUUGGCUUCGGGGAAAAGUUGAAUCUUGUUAUAAAAUUUCAACGGAAAUCUUCUUCGGUCUCGGCGUUUCCAGUUUGUCGGUGCUGCACUCGGGAUCGCUUUUGCCUCGACGACGUUCACCAAUACACGUAGAAAACAUCCCCCUCAUGAAUACCGCGAUACUCAGCGAGAGUAAACAAUACCGUUCACCCUGUCGGCCGAAUAUCGUGUACAGACUCACCGGCAAAGUCGCCCUUCUGGAUGGUGCUUAUCCUGUUCUCCUGCAUCUCCAGCUUCUUCAGCAUUUCCAAAGAGGACAAAGCCGAGGUUGGCACAGAGUUCAGUUCGUUUCCGC
rnacentral:lncRNA from 1 species